rnacentral:rRNA from 1 species
UACGGAGGGGGCUAGCGUUGUUCGGAAUUACUGGGCGUAAAGCGCACGUAGGCGGCUUUUGUAAGUUAGAGGUGAAAGCCCCGGAGCUCAACUCCGGAAUUGCCUUUAAGACUGCAUCGCUAGAAUUGUGGAGAGGUAAGUGGAAUUCCGAGUGUAGAGGUGAAAUUCGUAGAUAUUCGGAAGAACACCAGUGGCGAAGGCGACUUACUGGACACAUAUUGACGCUGAGGUGCGAAAGCGUGGGGAGCAAACAGG